UAGCCGUAAACGAUACUCGCUAGGUGUCGGCCACGGUGCGACCGUUGUCGGUGCCGUAGGGAAGCCGUGAAGCGAGCCACCUGGGAAGUACGGCCGCAAGGCUGAAACUUAAAGGAAUUGGCGGGGGUGCACCACAACGCGUGGAGCCUGCGGUUUAAUUGGAUUCAACGCCGGAAAUCUUACCGGGACCGACAGCAACAUGAAGGCCAAGCUGAAGACUUUGCCGGAUUAGCUGAGAGGUGGUGCAUGGCGUAGUCGUGU
rnacentral:rRNA from 1 species